rnacentral:rRNA from 1 species
GAUGAACGCUGGCGGCGUGCCUAAUACAUGCAAGUCGAGCGAACGGACGAGAAGCUUGCUUCUCUGAUGUUAGCGGCGGACGGGUGAGUAACACGUGGAUAACCUACCUAUAAGACUGGGAUAACUUCGGGAAACCGGGGCUAAUACCGGAUAAUAUUUUGAACCGCAUGGUUCAAAAGUAAAAGACGGUCUUGCUGUCACUUAUAGAUGGAUCCGCGCUGCAUUAGCUAGUUGGUAAGGUAACGGCUUACCAAGGCAACGAUGCAUAGCCGACCUGAGAGGGUGAUCGGCCAAAAUGGAACUGAGACACGGUCCAGACUCCUAAGGGAGGCAGCAGUAGGGAAUCUUCCGCAAUGGGCGAAAGCCUGACGGAGCAACGCCGCGUGAGUGAUGAAGGUCUUCGGAUCGUAAAACUCUGUUAUUAGGGAAGAACAUAUGUGUAAGUAAAUGUGCACAUCUUGACGGUAACUAAUCAGAAAGCCACGGCUAAAUACGUG